rnacentral:rRNA from 1 species
CCCCGGGUUACACGAAGGCCCCAAGAUAAUCAAAACGGCGUAAGCCGCGACCGGACCUUUGUCAAGACAUUAGGGACGGGACAAAACCAAGCCGUUAACCCCCCCAAGCUAAAAUAAGAAUAUAUCCUUACCUCCAACAUUAGUCGUUGGAAUUAGGGCACAAACUAGGAUUGGUUACCCUUCUAUGCCUAAUAGUACAUAGGCACCAACAACAUACAAGUUGCUCGCCAAACCACUUCGAGUGGAAACUUAAAACUUAAAAGGCUUGGCGGUACUUCACCCAACCUAGAGGAGCCUGUCCACUAACCGAUAAUCCACGAUUAACCCAACCACUUCUAGCCACUCAGCCUAUAUACCGCCGUCGCCAGUCUACCUUGUGAAAGCCACCAAGUAGACACAACAGUACCGCACUAACACGACAGGUCGAGGUGUAGCUUAUGAAGUGGGCAGAGAUGGGCUACAUUGUCUGACACAGAUCAAACGGACAAAGUUAUGAAAUUAAAGCCUUUAGAAGGAGGAUUUAGCAGUAAGUUGAGAACAUAAUACUAAACUGAAAACAAAGCAAUGAAGUGCGUACACACCGCCCGUCAUCCCUGCCACAACAAAUCAAAUACACAUAAAUACACAACACCAAUAAAAAACAGGGCAAGUCGUAACAUGGUAAGCGUACUGGAAAGUGCGCUUAGAAACAAAAAGUAGCUUACAACAAAGCAUUCGACCUACAAUCGAAAGACAUUAACACUAAUCUUUUUGAGCUAAAAACUUAGUCCUACCAAUACACAAACAAUAACCCGUACAAAACAAAUCAUUUGACACACUAAGUAGAUGCGAUCGAACACUAAAUCAGGCACAAUAACUAAAGUACCGCAAGGGAACAAUUAAACUCUUAAGCAAC